CCCCUGGUUAAGUGAAUACUUUGCCACAGUCUUAGAAUAUGGCAUAGCUGGGCCAAGGUUCGCUUAAACCGGUGU
rnacentral:pre_miRNA from 1 species